rnacentral:rRNA from 1 species
UUCCGGUUGAUCCUGCCGGACCUUACUGCUAUCGGGGUGGGACUAAAACAUGCUAGUCGAGCGCCUCCAAGCUAUGGUGAAGGCGCGGCGAACGGCUCAGUAACACGUGGCCAACCUACCCUCAGGACGGAGACAACCCCGGGAAACUGGGGCUAAUCCCCGAUAGGUGAGGACGCCUGGAAUGACCCCUCACCCAAAGGACGUUGAAACCAUGCUUUUCAGCGUCGCCUAAGGAUGGAGCCGCGGCCGAUCAGGUUGUUGGUGGGGCAAAGGCUCACCAAGCCUAUAACCGGUACGGGCCGUGAGAGCGGGAGCCCGGAGAUGGGCACUGAGACAAGGGCCCAGGCCCUACGGGGCGCAGCAGUUGCGAAAACUCCGCAAUGCACGAAAGUGUGACGGGGCUACCCCGAGUGCCGUCCGCUGAGGGCGGCUUUUCCCCGGUGUAAGGAGCCGGGGGAAUAAGGAGAGGGCAAGUCUGGUGUCAGCCGCCGCGGUAAUACCAGCUCUCCGAGUGGUAGGGAUGAUUAUUGGGCUUAAAGCGUCCGUAGCCGGCCUAGCAAGUCUUCCGUUAAAUCCACCGAUUCAAUCGUUGGACUGCAGGAGAUACUGUUGGGCUAGGGGGCGGGAGAGGCUGACAGUAUUCUCGGGGUAGGGGUAAAAUCCUAUAAUCCCGGGAGGACCACCAGUGGCGAAGGCGGUCGGCUAGAACGCGCUCGACGGUGAGGGACGAAAGCUGGGGGAGCGAACCGGAUUAGAUACCCGGGUAGUCCCAGCUGUAACGCUGCUUGCUUGAUGUUAGUCGGGCUCCGAGCCCGAUUAGUGUCAGAGAGAAGUGUUAACCAAGCUGCCUGGGAAGUACGGCCGCAUGACUGAACUUAAAGGAAUUGGCGGGGGAGCACAUCAACGGGUGGAGCGUGCGGUUAAUUCAGUCACGCCGG